rnacentral:rRNA from 1 species
CAGCAGCCACGGGAAUACGAAGGGUGCAAGCGUUAAUCGGAAUUACUGGGCGUAAAGCGUGCGUAGGCGGUGAAUUAAGUCUGCUGUGAAAUCCCCGGGCUCAACCUGGGAAUGGCAGUGGAUACUGGAAAGCUAGAGUGUGUCAGAGGAUGGUGGAAUUCCCGGUGUAGCGGUGAAAUGCGUAGAGAUCGGGAGGAACAUCAGUGGCGAAGGCGGCCAUCUGGGACAACACUGACGCUGAGGCACGAAAGCGUGGGGAGCAAACAGGAUUAGAGACCCCGGUAGUCCCUGUCUCUUAUAC